GACGAACGCUGGCGGCGUGCUUAACACAUGCAAGUCGAACGGAAAGGCCCUGCUUUUGUGGGGUGCUCGAGUGGCGAACGGGUGAGUAACACGUGAGUAACCUGCCCUUGACUUUGGGAUAACUUCAGGAAACUGGGGCUAAUACCGGAUAGGAGCUCCUGCUGCAUGGUGGGGGUUGGAAAGUUUCGGCGGUUGGGGAUGGACUCGCGGCUUAUCAGCUUGUUGGUGGGGUAGUGGCUUACCAAGGCUUUGACGGGUAGCCGGCCUGAGAGGGUGACCGGCCACAUUGGGACUGAGAUACGGCCCAGACUCCUACGGGAGGCAGCAGUGGGGAAUAUUGCACAAUGGGCGGAAGCCUGAUGCAGCAACGCCGCGUGCGGGAUGACGGCCUUCGGGUUGUAAACCGCUUUCGCCUGUGACGAAGCGUGAGUGACGGUAAUGGGUAAAGAAGCACCGGCUAACUACGUGCCAGCAGCCGCGGUGAUACGUAGGGUGCGAGCGUUGUCCGGAUUUAUUGGGCGUAAAGGGCUCGUAGGUGGUUGAUCGCGUCGGAAGUGUAAUCUUGGGGCUUAACCCUGAGCGUGCUUUCGAUACGGGUUGACUUGAGGAAGGUAGGGGAGAAUGGAAUUCCUGGUGGAGCGGUGGAAUGCGCAGAUAUCAGGAGGAACACCAGUGGCGAAGGCGGUUCUCUGGGCCUUUCCUGACGCUGAGGAGCGAAAGCGUGGGGAGCGAACAGGCUUAGAUACCCUGGUAGUCCACGCUGUAAACGGUGGGUACUAGGUGUGGGGUCCAUUCCACGGGUUCCGUGCCGUAGCUAACGCUUUAAGUACCCCGCCUGGGGAGUACGGCCGCAAGGCUAAAACUCAAAGGAAUUGACGGGGCCCCGCACAAGCGGCGGAGCAUGCGGAUUAAUUCGAUGCAACGCGUAGAACCUUACCUGGGUUUGACAUGGAUCGGGAGUGCUCAGAGAUGGGUGUGCCUCUUUUGGGGUCGGUUCACAGGUGGUGCAUGGCUGUCGUCAGCUCGUGUCGUGAGAUGUUGGGUUAAGUCCCGCAACGAGCGCAACCCUUGUUCACUGUUGCCAGCACGUUAUGGUGGGGACUCAGUGGAGACCGCCGGGGUCAACUCGGAGGAAGGUGGGGAUGACGUCAAGUCAUCAUGCCCCUUAUGUCCAGGGCUUCACGCAUGCUACAAUGGCCGGUACAGAGAGUGGCGAGCCUGUGAGGGUGAGCGAAUCUCGGAAAGCCGGUCUCAGUUCGGAUUGAGGUCUGCAACUCGACCCCAUGAAGUCGGAGUCGCUAGUAAUCGCAGAUCAGCAACGCUGCGGUGAAUACGUUCCCGGG
rnacentral:rRNA from 1 species